AAAAGAUGGGUUUUGGAGACUACCCCAAGGAGUACAACCCCGCCAUACACGGAGUCUACGACCCUGCCCGUUACUACGGCCCGAGUAAGUGCUGUA
rfam:Nasonia vitripennis chromosome 4 unlocalized genomic scaffold Chr4_random039, whole genome shotgun sequence.